GGGGUGGUUAACCCCCCCAACUUUUGUAGAAUUAACAUAUUCGGAAAAUCGGGUUGGCCAUUCGGAAAAUUACGGCAAUUAUAGUAUAACAAAAUUUUAGUUGUUUUAUUAAACAGAGAAAAUAUUAUAAAAUGGUAUUGUCAGUAUAAACCAUUGGUAUAAACUGAUUUACGAAAUCACGGCAUUUACAUGGAUAACGUAAAAAAUCGUAAAUCGGUAAAUGUUUUUCGGUUUAUUGCUUCUCAGGGCCGUAGCAGGAGGGGGGAGGGGGGGGACUGGGGGCAGCAGCCCUUGCAAUAAUUUGCUGAUAAUCAUUCGUUUUUCAAAAUCAUGCACACCUUUAUCAUUUAGAUAAUAUACCUUUAAAAUACUGACAAUAAACUAGAGGUGUGCAUCGGAUCGGAUUGGACGUUUAUAAUCUGACAAUUGCCGGAUGUUUAAAAUCCGAUCCGAAAUUUCUAAUCCCAAUUCGUCCCGAUCCGAGUUUUGAAAAAGAAUUCCAAUCCGAUCCAAUCCGAAGAAUUCUUUAAUAAAAUAAAUUUCUCAUUCAAGUUGAAAGAUUUAACCAAAUAAAUAUAAAAGCAAGAAAUAC